AUUGAACGCUGGCGGCAGGCCUAACACAUGCAAGUCGAGCGGAUGAAGGGAGCUUGCUCCUGGAUUCAGCGGCGGACGGGUGAGUAAUGCCUGGGAAUCUGCCUGGUAGUGGGGGAUAACGUCCGGAAACGGGCGCUAAUACCGCAUACGUCCUGAGGGAGAAAGUGGGGGAUCUUCGGACCUCACGCUAUCAGAUGAGCCUAGGUCGGAUUAGCUAGUUGGUGGGGUAAAGGCCUACCAAGGCGACGAUCCAUAACUGGUCUGAGAGGAUGAUCAGUCACACUGGAACUGAGACACGGUCCAGACUCCUACGGGAGGCAGCAGUGGGGAAUAUUGGACAAUGGGCGAAAGCCUGAUCCAGCCAUGCCGCGUGUGUGAAGAAGGUCUUCGGAUUGUAAAGCACUUUAAGUUGGGAGGAAGGGCAGUAAGUUAAUACCUUGCUGUUUUGACGUUACCAACAGAAUAAGCACCGGCUAACUUCGUG
rnacentral:rRNA from 1 species